UACGUAGGUGGCAAGCGUUGUUCGGAAUCACUGGGCUUAAAGCGUGUGUAGGCGGGUCGUUAAGUGUCUUGUGAAAUCCCACCGCUCAACGGUGGAACCGCUGGGCAUACUGGCGAUCUUGAGCAGUCCAGGGGCGAGCGGAACAAGCGGUGGAGCGGUGAAAUGCGUAGAUAUCGCCUGGAACGCCGACGGUGAAAACAGCUCGCUGGGGACUCGCUGACGCUGAGACACGAAAGCCAGGGGAGCGAACGGG
rnacentral:rRNA from 1 species